UGGUGUCCGGUAGCGUGACCAGCCGGAGGUGUGCCACGUUUGCAGUUUCCCCGGCAUGAUUAUACAAAUGGCGAAUACUUUCGGUGAGAUAUAGCACCGUAUAUUAAACGGGUAGCCAUACAACUUGCCAGGAGGAUUAUUGCAGCGUGUUUGUGCAGUUCUAGCCGUGCGUAAGGGGCUUGGAGACGAGUUUUGAUGUAUGGGCAUACUGAGGGUCGUUUGACGAGGUCUGAGGCUUAUUGACGAGUGUGUAUGGAGGGCCACGUGCGUCUUAUCCAAGGUCGACACUGUUAAGGGCGUGGUAGGAUAACUGGAGCGGGAGGCUAAGACCCGGGGCUCUGCGAGUUAGGAACUACUAUUUUGUGGACCACGGAACUUGGUGUGACGUUGACGUUACCUGUAUGGCGAGAGCGCCGUGGUGUAUUUUCUAGGACACAUGUCACUGACCUGUUUUGUGAACCAGAACUUUGAGUAACUUUCAGUAGUAAAUAACAGAACACGUUUACAUUUGAAAAGAUAUUUUAUUUUUAUUUGAAGUUAAUUGAGCUUUUUCGAAAUAUUAAUUGAAAAGACUGAAUUAAGUUGGUGAAUUUUACCUUUUUGAUUUAAAAUCUGAUAAUUAUCGACUCAGCAUUGUAGCAUGUAAUAUUCAACUUUAUUAUUAUGUAAAGUAUCAGAAGUGGUUUAAACUGAGUUAACUGUUCAUAUAUAUUUUCAUUUCCGGUGUGUGAGCUGGUAUGUGAGCGUGAGUGAGAGUAAUUGAAUAUAAUUUGUUUCUGUUUUUUUAUUUGUGUUAAUAAACUUAUUUGUUAUUUCUAA